AGAAUAGUAUGAAAAGUUCAUUAAUAUAGUUUCAGAUUCCACAUUGUAACUAACCUUUAAGAAGCUACCACUUCUCAAGUUUCUAUAUAGUAUCAAAGAAGAAUAUUCACAAUUAUAUGAAAAAGUUACUAAAAU